rnacentral:rRNA from 1 species
UCGAAAGCUCCGGCGGUGCAGGAUGAGCCCGCGGCCUAUCAGCUUGUUGGUGAGGUAAUGGCUCACCAAGGCGACGACGGGUAGCCGGCCUGAGAGGGCGACCGGCCACACUGGGACUGAGACACGGCCCAGACUCCUACGGGAGGCAGCAGUGGGGAAUAUUGCACAAUGGGCGCAAGCCUGAUGCAGCGACGCCGCGUGAGGGAUGACGGCCUUCGGGUUGUAAACCUCUUUCAGCAGGGAAGAAGCGAGAGUGACGGUACCUGCAGAAGAAGCGCCGGCUAACUACGUGCCAGCAGCCGCGGUAAUACGUAGGGCGCAAGCGUUGUCCGGAAUUAUUGGGCGUAAAGAGCUCGUAGGCGGCUUGUCGCGUCGGUUGUGAAAGCCCGGGGCUUAACCCCGGGUCUGCAGUCGAUACGGGCAGGCUAGAGUUCGGUAGGGGAGAUCGGAAUUCCUGGUGUAGCG